rnacentral:rRNA from 1 species
GCCCUUAGAGUUUGAUCCUGGCUCAGAACGAACGCUGGCGGCGUGCUUAACACAUGCAAGUCCAACGUGAAAGGGGAGCAAUCCCCCGGUAGGGUGGCGAACGGGUGAGUAAGACAUGGGAAUCUGCCCUGGAGAUGGGGAUAUCCCUCCGAAAGGGGGGUUAAUACCGAAUACCGUCCGGGAUCCGAAGGGAUUUCGGGGAAAGGGAGGCCUCUGGCAACACGCUUCCGCUCCGGGAGGAGCCCAUGGCCCAUCAGCUAGUUGGCAGGGUAAUGGCCUACCAAGGCGAAGACGGGUAGCUGGUCUGAGAGGACGAUCAGCCACACUGGCACUGAGACACGGGCCAGACUCCUACGGGAGGCAGCAGUGAGGAAUUUUGCGCAAUGGGGGCAACCCUGACGCAGCAACGCCGCGUGUGGGAAGAAGGCUUUCGGGUUGUAAACCACUUUUGUGGAGGACGAAACCCCGGGGACGAACACGCCCUGGGGGUGACGGUACUUCACGAAUAAGCCACGGCUAACUCUGUGCCAGCAGCCGCGGUAAGACAGGGGUGGCAAGCGUUGUUCGGAGUGACUGGGCGUAAAGGGUCUGUAGGUGGUUUGUCAAGUCUUUGGUAAAAAGCCGUGGCUCAACCAUGGUGCGGCCAAGGAGACUGGGAGACUGGAGGCUGGGAGAGGGAAGCGGAAUUUCUGGUGUAGCGGUGAAAUGCGUAGAGAUCAGAAAGAAGGCCGGUGGCGAAGGCGGCUUCCUGGAACAGACCUGACACUGAGAGACGAAAGCGUGGGGAGCAAACAGGAUUAGAUACCCUGGUAGUCCACGCCCUAAACGAUGGGAACUAAGUGUGGGGAGCAAUCCCCGUGCCGCAGCUAACGCAAUAAGUUCCCCGCCUGGGGAGUACGGCCGCAAGGUUGAAACUCAAAUGAAUUGACGGGGAAGGGC